CUGCAGGCUGAGCAAAUGGGCCUACGGUGGAGCCGAUGAUGUCCCCUAUAAGGCCUGGUGAAAGAACUGGUCCAGAUGGUGUAACUUCCCACUCAAGAAGAUGAGGAGAGGAAAAGUGUUCAGCGAGAAAAAGGAGUACACAGGACAUCAUAGCAUGGCCUUGGUAACUGAAGCUGCUUCCUUGCCCUUCCCCACUGCUGAUGGGAUCCUUUAAGCUGGGACUUUGGCCCUAAAACUCCAGAAACAGAUCUUCUAUCUCCUCCAGCUUUGGUGCUGCUUCCACAGGAUGGAGCCACCUCCCAGGAGCAGAGGAUGCCACUUCUGUUUCAGAGCAAAGGUUAAUAACGCAAGAGAAAAUCACCAACGUACACAACUCUGAUGUUGUGGCUUUGCCUUUAUUAAAAAUGGGAACAAGCCAAGGAGAGUCCUGAUGAAAGCUGAGAUAAUUAAUGUGGUUGGAAAGAGGCAAGAAUCCAAGUAGAUCCAGAUACAAAAGCAAAGUUAAUGGCCUGAGCUAAAAUGCUAACGCCAGUGAGUUAGGGGCCAGCCAGCAUUAUACAAAUUUCCAGAGUGGUUUAGUGAAUCAGUAGAGCCUGCUGCCUCCCCUGCAUUGUAUAGAGCUGAUUGUACAGGGCUCAAACAGCUGACACGGGAGCUUUCAGCAAGCUGGUUUUAGAAAAGGACAUCGUUUUGGAGGGGAGGUGAAUGUGGUAGCCAGCUUUUCCAGGCCCCUUUGCUGCUGCUGUUGUUUUUGAGAUCCACAUUUGAGAUCACAGAUGGAUGUGCUAUCGAUACAGGCUGAAACUCUGUCUGGCCAGAGACAGUCAACGGUGGAGGGGUAGUUAGGGUGGGAGGAAACAGCAAACAAUCCCGAUUUUCAGCUCAAAGAAGUUUCAGGAACCAGAUCCAGAGAUGAAACCCUGGAGAGGGAAAGGAGAGAGGCAGAGCUGGAAGAAAACUAUUGCAGCCCCUUGCUUGGGACCUGAGGCCUGAGGCAGCCUGGCACAAGGAGCAAUAUUUUCAUGGGUCCCUACCAGUGCACAGAUUCC
rnacentral:lncRNA from 1 species